CUUGGCCCUCCAUACCUGCUUUGUCCACUAGUGCAGGGGAAGCCAAGCCUGGUGGCCCUCCUGGGACUGGAGACACUUGCACAUUCUCAUAGGGGACCUCAAAGGAAGGUCUUUUCCCAGAGAAGAGAAGAAAGACAUCCCAGAGGAGGAAGGGUUGAGAGAUGAGAUGCAAGAGCUCAACCUGGCUUUGAAGGGAAGGAGCUUGAUGAGCCAACGAGUCUGGGCAGCUUCCAGACACCAGGAAACCAAGGAAAUGGCGUUCUUCUUGAGCACCUUCAAAUUAGCCAACCCUCCAGACGCCAGGUUGACUUUGAACUUGUCAUCCUCCUGACUUAAUGUUGGAGUGUGAUUUUUUUUUUUCAAGACA